rnacentral:rRNA from 1 species
UACGUAGGGUGCUAGCGUUGUUCGGAAUCAUUGGGCGUAAAGCGCGUGUAGGUGGUUUGUUAAGUCGGUUGUGAAAUCCCUGGGCUUAACCGAGGAAGUGCAUUCGAAACUAGCAGACUAGAGGACGGCAGAGGAAGGUGGAAUUCCCAGUGUAGAGGUGAAAUUCGUAGAUAUUGGGAGGAAUACCGGCGGCGAAGGCGGCCUUCUGGACCGUUCCUGACACUGAGACGCGAAAGCGUGGGUAGCAAACAGG